GAGUUUGAUCCUGGCUCAGAUUGAACGCUGGCGGCAUGCCUUACACAUGCAAGUCGAACGGUAACAGGUCUUCGGAUGCUGACGAGUGGCGAACGGGUGAGUAAUACAUCGGAACGUGCCCAGACGUGGGGGAUAACGAGGCGAAAGCUUUGCUAAUACCGCAUACGAUCUAAGGAUGAAAGCAGGGGACCGCAAGGCCUUGCGCGUUUGGAGCGGCCGAUGGCAGAUUAGGUAGUUGGUGGGAUAAAAAGCUUACCAAGCCGACGAUCUGUAGCUGGUCUGAGAGGACGACCAGCCACACUGGGACUGAGACACGGCCCAGACUCCUACGGGAGGCAGCAGUGGGGAAUUUUGGACAAUGGGCGAAAGCCUGAUCCAGCAAUGCCGCGUGCAGGAUGAAGGCCU
rnacentral:rRNA from 1 species